rnacentral:tRNA from 1 species
CCUUCGAUAGCUCAGUUGGUAGAGCGGUGGACUGUAGUUGGCUUACAAACAAAAUCAGAAAUCCAUAGGUCGCUGGUUCAAAUCCGGCUCGAAGGA